UAAUCUACCCUGAUGUCUGGGAUAACCAGCCGAAAGGCUGACUAAUACCUGAUAUAUUAAUUCCUGUAGGGGGAUGAAUGAAAGGUGGCCUCUUCUUGAAAGCUAUCGCAUUGGGAUGAGUUUGCGUACCAUUAGCUUGUUGAUGGGGUAAUGGCCUACCAAGGCGACGAUGGUUAGCGGGUCUGAGAGGAUGAUCCGUCACACUGGCACUGGAACACGGGCCAG
rnacentral:rRNA from 1 species